GUCAUUAUUUUCAAAAAAUAGUUUUCUGAAAUUCUCUUUUUGCAGCAGCUAAAGGAAAGUAGUCCAUCUAUUAGUUAUCGAUUAAUUAAGUUCCUCAGAUAUAAUUGAAGUUAAGCGAAAAUGCGUACCCUCUCUUAUUCGGAAUUGAAUGUGGAUUCAUUCAUAUUGUGGAUGAUCAUAGUCGUUGUGUUUCUACUACUUCCAAUACUGACUUUCAUUUUUAUCAAGAAGUUGAUCAUUCUUCGUCGCCAUAGGAAUCCUCUUAGGCGAUAUAUACCACUUAUUUACAAUCAUGUGCCUAACGUAAAUGAUUACCAAUUUCGUAUGAAUAGGAACUAAAACAAACUCAUACCGAAAAUUUAUUUAUGUACGGACUAAACAAUAUAUUUAAUAAACUAUAUUAAAUCUUGGAUGGAUUUGAUUUUAAUUUAAAAGCAAUUUGGUCCGUUCGAGCUGCUUUAUAUUUGAAUAUUACCUUUAGUCAAAUUGAAAUUCUGAUGUUGGAAUGAAACACUGCUGAAAUCUCAGUUGACAAAUAUUAUUGAACAUUUAUUUUUAAACAAAUUAUUAUUGUAUAGUUGUAAGAAUAAAUUUAUGUUAAAU